UAUCUGAGUUUGCUGAGGAGGCAUGGAACCCAGCUGCUCCCUGCUGCCAAUCUCGAUUGAAUACAAAGCAAACAUUCCAACUCUUAAAUCUCUUGCUCCAAUGAAUCCACGCAUGAUGAUUGAAACACGGACAUCCAUAAUAAAAGUUUAAUAGGAGUUGAUGAUUAUGAUUGAAUAGAGAUUGAAUGGAGUGUGAGUGAAGAUAUGAAGGAUGGUUGAAUGGAAGGGUUGUAUAAUAAUUGAAUAAUUGAAUAAAAUUAAUCUUUAUUUUUCAAUUAAAUUUGAAACCAAAUAUAUAUGUAAUCAUAUUCUCUUAUUUUUUUAUA